UGGCGUGGUUUUUACUGCGCGCUGGGGGUCAGGAUGAGAGGGGUCAACAAUGAGGGUCGGUCGUCGUGGCAGGUCCCGGGCCGGCGUGCGAUGUUGAUCUUGGUUGGGGUCGGGGCCACGUCACGUGUCGGUCACAUCGAUGAGAGAGAGAGCGUCGCUCUCGUCCUGCUGCGUCCUGCCGAUCGAUCGAAACUAGCGGCGGCCUAGCCUCAUGAGCACCACAGCCCCCGGUACCGGCCGCGGCGCCCGCUGCCCGGCCUCCCCCACCCGCCUCCGCCCCUGACCGGCGGCAAGCGACCGCUGCGGAAGCGCUUCAUGAGCAGCAGCCACAAGCGGCUGGAGCCGCCGACCGGCCUGCCGGAGCCGCGCCCGCGGCCCCUGGACGGCGGCGACCUAGACGGCCGCGGCUCGGGCAGGCGCGUCCAGGUCGACCGCGGCAGCCUGCUCUAGUACGGCCGGCGCAGUCCGCUCGGGCGGCCGCGGCGCAGGAGGACGAGGUCGCCGCUGCCGCGGCGUCGCCGGCGGCUCUUGCGGCUGUUCGGCGUCAGGCGGCGGCUGCGUCGCUCGUACUUCGGCUGCCGCCGCCACUUCUUCCCCGUCUUCGCCCGCGCCGUCGUCGCCAAGCGGAAGCACUGGUUCUCGCUUCAACUAGUGGAGCUCCUACCCAUGUCUACCUCCUUCAUACCCGUCUUUCGGCAGUUCUUGUCGGGAAAGGGUUCCUCGAUGAUGGCCACGUGGUUGUCGUUCACGUGACACUUCUUCGCCCACCUCGCCAGCAGCCUCCUGGGGAGACACCACUAGUGGUGGAUGCUCCCGGUCGUGACGGUGGUGGUCUGGAGGAAGGUCGCGCCGCCGUACGUGAAGGUGCCGCCGCGAUGGCAGCGCGAGCGCCUCGUCUACAGCAAGCACAGUUGAGUCGUCGACAUGUUGGACGGCGGGGACGCGGCUGUUGUCUACUUAGGACGUAGCAGCCUCAGGCAGCAAUCGAGGCACGGGGGCAGAAACGUCGUCGAGUUACCGCCGCUGCUUGAUGCUUCCAGCUGAUCGAUAUCGGGGUACGGCAGGCGCCGCGUCUGUAGUAGCAGUAGCAACCAAGGAGGCCUACAAAGCAAACUGUACCCUGACGAACCGCUGUAGCACGGAGGUCCUCAUUCUUUACCUACUGCUAGAUAUUACUUAAUAGAGGGAUGACCGAUAUAGACUUGAGACUUCAGUACUGUACAGAGUCUAGUCCCUUCCGCCUAUUGGUUCGUCGAUGGGUAUCGAUCCCAAAGGUCGACUAACUAGCUACGAGAGGACGUCUUAGGGAACUCUGGCUCGACCUAGAACUCGGAUAAUGUCUGCCCAUAACUAGUUUCUGCUACGUACCUCAUGUUGGGAAAGAGGACUACUGUCCUAAACGAUAACUAAAACGUGACGCGGAGUAAUAACCUGUCCGGGCACGUUAAGAGCUAGAGUACCGUUUUAAAAUACGGGUGGAUUAAUUGAAGUCGGAUAGACAAACUAGAUGAACUGGGAACCGUACAUCGUUAAACUAUCAUCAUCAUCAUACACCAGAAGAGCGUGUUAUCAUAACCUAAUUGGAUUUGAAAAUACUGAAAGAUCGAUCGAUCGUCGGAUCGUCCCAAUUAAACAACACCUACAUAUAUCAUAUACAAACUCUAAGACGUAUACGUCACGUCAUAGCCCCACUAGUAUGUCGAUCGAGUAAGCUGAGAAACAAGAAAUAAUGAGGGUAGUUGAAGCUUAGACUAAAAAAUGACCC
rnacentral:rRNA from 1 species